rnacentral:tRNA from 1 species
GUAAUUCAAUUGGUUAGAAAGCUUCGCUUCUGCGAAGAAGCGCGGGUUCGAAUCCCGCC